rnacentral:lncRNA from 1 species
CCUACUCCCUGCUUCUCUUCUUCCUUUAACCUUCCAGGUAUCUAUCUAGUCUUCUAACCUCGUAGUUAUCCAUAUUUUAGUACCUGUAUAGUACCAUUUAAGUGUGUGCUUAAAUAUGUUCCUAGUUUAAUUACUUUUACUCUCAUUUCAUUUAAAUUUUUAUUAGAGUGGCACAUGUAUUUGGUUUGGAAAGUCAGUAGUUUUAUAUGAAAAACAGCUGUUCUCUGUUAUAUCUUCUAUUCUGUUCCUCAGAAGCAAUCACUUUCAACACCGUCCUUUUUUAUCUCUCUCUUCUGGUGUUUAUUACUUCCAUUUAUCAGAUUAAACUUGCUAAUCUGUUAUUGAUUAAUUUUUUUUUGUUACAGAUUUUUUUCCAUUGCCUUACCAGUAUGAAACAUGUUUAUUUUACUUCCCUCACUUUUGUGCCUCUGUAUGCAAAUAUGAGUGUGCAUGCGUAUACACACACACACACACAAUUUUCAUCCCACCUUCCCAGUAUAGAUUUUUGUUACAGUUCAAAGUUUUCAGUAUUAUGACAGGUAAAUAUUUUUCAGAACUAAACCAUGUGCAGUAUGAUAAUUACAUUUGUUUUCUUACAUGAUUUUUCAUUUUUCUUUUUUUAAAUCUUUUUUUUAUUGAUUUUAUUUUUUUAAAUAUACGACAGCAGAAUGCAUUACAAUUGAUUUUUCAUUUUUCUAC